rnacentral:rRNA from 1 species
UACGUAGGGUGCGAGCGUUAGGCGGAAUCACUGGGCUUAAAGCGUGUGUAGGCGGAUCGUUAAGUGUCUUGUGAAAUCCCACGGCUCACCCGUGGAACUGCUGGGCAUACUGGCGAUCUUGGGCCAACUAGGGGCAGCCGGAACAAGCGGUGGAGCGGUGAAAUGCGUAGAUAUCGCUUGGAACGCCGAAGGUGAAAACAGGCUGCUGGGGUUGCGCCGACGCUGAGACACGAAAGCCAGGGGAGCAAACGGG